AUUGAACGCUGGCGGCAUGCCUUACACAUGCAAGUCGAACGGCAGCGGACCUUCGGGUGCCGGCGAGUGGCGAACGGGUGAGUAAUAUAUCGGAACGUACCUUUCAGUGGGGGAUAACGUAGCGAAAGUUACGCUAAUACCGCAUAUUCUGUGAGCAGGAAAGCAGGGGAUCGCAAGACCUUGCGCUGAUUGAGCGGCCGAUAUCAGAUUAGCUAGUUGGUGAGGUAAAGGCUCACCAAGGCGACGAUCUGUAGCGGGUCUGAGAGGAUGAUCCGCCACACUGGAACUGAGACACGGUCCAGACUCCUACGGGAGGCAGCAGUGGGGAAUUUUGGACAAUGGGCGCAAGCCUGAUCUAGCCAUGCCGCGUGAGUGAAGAAGGCCUCGG
rnacentral:rRNA from 1 species